rnacentral:rRNA from 1 species
ACGAACGCUGGCGGCGUGCUUAACACAUGCAAGUCGAACGGAAAGGCCCUGCUUUUGUGGGGUGCUCGAGUGGCGAACGGGUGAGUAACACGUGAGUAACCUGCCCUUGACUUUUGGAUAACUUCAGGAAACUGGGGCUAAUACCGGAUAGGAGCUCCUGCUGCAUGGUGGGGGUUGGAAAGUUUCGGCGGUUGGGGAUGGACUCGCGGCUUAUCAGCUUGUUGGUGGGGUAGUGGCUUACCGAGGCUUUGACGGGUAGCCGGCCUGAGAGGGUGACCGGCCACAUUGGGACUGAGAUACGGCCCAGACUCCUACGGGAGGCAGCAGUGGGGAAUAUUGCACAAUGGGCGGAAGCCUGAUGCAGCAACGCCGCGUGCGGGAUGACGGCCUUCGGGUUGUAAACCGCUUUCGCCUGUGACGAAGCGUGAGUGACGGUAAUGGGUAAAGAAGCACCGGCUAACUACGUG